rnacentral:rRNA from 1 species
CAUGCAGUCGAGCGGUAGCGACAGAGAGCUUGCUCUCGGGUGACGAGCGGCGGACGGAUGAGUAAUGUCUGGGAAACUGCCUGAUGGAGGGGGAUAACUACUGGAAACGGUAGCUAAUACCGCAUAACGUCGCAAGACCAAAGUGGGGGACCUUCGGGCCUCAUGCCAUCAGAUGUGCCCAGAUGGGAUUAGCUAGUAGGUGGGGUAACGGCUCACCUAGGCGACGAUCCCUAGCUGGUCUGAGAGGAUGACCAGCCACACUGGAACUGAGACACGGUCCAGACUCCUACGGGAGGCAGCAGUGGGGAAUAUUGCACAAUGGGCGCAAGCCUGAUGCAGCCAUGCCGCGUGUGUGAAGAAGGCCUUCGGGUUGUAAAGCACUUUCAGCGGGGAGGAAGGCGGUGAGGUUAAUAACCUCAUCGAUUGACGUUACCCGCAGAAGAAGCACUGGCUAACUCCGUGCCAGCAGCCGCGGUAAUACGGAGGGUGCAAGCGUUAAUCGGAAUUACUGGGCGUAAAGCGCACGCAGGCGGUCUGUCAAGUCGGAUGUGAAAUCCCCGGGCUUAACCUGGGAACUGCAUUCGAAACUGGCAGGCUAGAGUCUUGUAGAGGGGGGUAGAAUUCCAGGUGUAGCGGUGAAAUGCGUAGAGAUCUGGAGGAAUACCGGUGGCGAACGCGGCCCCCUGGACAAAGACUGACGCUCAGGUGCGAAAGCGUGGGGAGCAAACAGGAUUAGAUACCCUGGUAGUCCACGCCGUAAACGAUGUCGAUUUGGAGGUUGUGCCCUUGAGGCGUGGCUUCCGGAGCUAACGCGUUAAAUCGACCGCCUGGGGAGUACGGCCGCAAGGUUAAACUCAAGGAAUUGACGG